GAGAAGGGGGAUGGGGGUAGAGGUGUGUGUGUGUGUGAGAGAGAGAGAGAGACUGCUUUUUGAAGUUUAACUGAAAUUUCCUGGAAGCCUAAUCCUGGAAUGAAAAGCUAUUUCAAUGUACAUUCUUCAGGACUAGGCUUAACUGUCCCUAAGAGUUUGAACUCGAGGUCAUUAAGCUAUUUUCAUGGUUUGAAAAGAGGCAAAGGUAAAUCCCCAGGGCAGUCGAUGCAGAGUACCAAUGGUCAUAGCCAAGGCCCGUAAAGCGUCGGAGGUAGGAGUGCUGACCUGAGAUCAGUUUUACCUUUUUGAAUCAUAUGAAUAAGAUGUGUCAACUGAUCCUAGAUCAGCACUCCUAUACUGAGAUGCUUUAUGGAUUUAGUUUGGUCGUGUUAUUUCAGUAGAACAGGACGUCUCACAAGAAGGACUUUGUGACUGAACUGUGCAUCGUUCAUAAAAUAGUGUUUUACAUUUUCUGAGUGGGCAGUAGAAGUGGCAUUGUAACCGGGGACUUGUAUUUUACUGACAUUUCAUUAUCUGUAAGAACUGACAGAUGCUCACAAAAACCAGUUUUUAUGUAUUUCAGCUUUGUAUAACAGACCGGUUUAGACCUAUGACCUGUGUUGAGGUUCCACAUUUUUAGCAAUGACUUCUCUUUUGACUUCUCUUUUUAAAUGCUAUUAUUUCUUUCCUACAAGCUAUUUCCUCAAGUUGUGACAAGGGUACAACAUCAAAAUACGCCCACCUGAACAUUUAACAUGGAUCCAUGUGGUUUAAAAUGUAACUGUGGCUUCUAGCUUUCCUCGUUUCAGCUGCAGGGCGUGUCCUAAAUGGCUCCCUAUAUAUAGUGCAGGUCGAUAGUAGUGCAUUAUAUAGGGAAUAGGGUGCCAUUUGCGAAGCAUGGAGAGAUGUCACGUAGAACACUGAGACAACUGUUCUUACCUGUGUCCAACGAGAGCUCUUUCAAUAAAGAAUCAACUCCUGUUUGGAUCGAUCUGUACUUGUCACUCUGUGUGACGGCAAUGUCCAUUUUUAUUAGGUGACUCACAGUGAGUGAUGGACUGUGAGGUUUUACGAUAACUUCUAGAAAUUGCGUAGAUGAACUCUAUCAAAUGUAUUUUAUAAUGCACUUUUUACAUCAAAAUUUGUCACAAAGUGAUUUACAAAUACACAGCUGAAAACCCCAAAGAGCAAGCAAUGCAGAGACAGAAGCUAGGAAGAAAUCUAGAGAGGAACCAGGCUCUGAGAGGUGGCCAGUCCUCUUCUAGCUGUGCCGGGUGGAGGUAAAAGAGUACAUGGCCACUAAGGCCAGAUCAUUCUACAAGAUGUUCAAACAUUCAUAGAUGGUCAGAUAAUAGUACCAGUGGUUAUAGAGGGUGCAACAGGUCAGGAGUAAAAGUUGGCUUUUCAUAGCUGAGCAUUCAGAGGUCGAGACAGCAGGUGAGAGAGCGAAAUAGAGACAGAGGGAGUUGAAAUAGCAGGUCCAGGACAAGGUCAGGGUUCCAUAGUUGCAGGCAGAGCAGCCGUACAACCAGAUGGAAUGGGGUACAGCCAGGAGUCAUCAGGUCAGGUAGUCCUAGACCACUCUUCUAGAUGUAUGUACCUUUAGAGUUGUACAAUGACAGACCCCAAGCUUUUAAUUCCUGUAUUCAUGACAGGGUUUGAGCCCGAGUAGACCUACAGUACAGCUUAGUGUAAUAGCAGUUUUGUAAUACUACGAAUGUCCAAUAGGUGGCAAUGUUGUUUUCCACUGUCUUGAAACAAUUGCAUUUGUGCUACCAUAGUAGCUAUUUAUCCUGCAUACUUUUCAGUAAUGCUGAAAACCCCACUGUAAAUGUUUAGUGCAUACUGGUACUUGCUAGGUCAAUGUGUUAGUAGCUUUAAUAAAAAUGGGAAUUGGAAACAGGAAAUUGCAAUCCUACUCAUGUUGAGUUUUACUUAAUUUGUUUUUGUUGGGGGGUGGG
ensembl:lncRNA